GCCUUUGUGGUGUAGUGGUCAGCACGCUCGACGCAUAACCGAGAGGUCCGUAGUUCGAUUCCCGGUGAAGGCG
rfam:Stegodyphus mimosarum contig173846, whole genome shotgun sequence.